GCGAGUCGGCAUGGUCUGAUGAUGGAUUAUCUUGUAUUUUCUUUUUGUGUCAUGUUAUAUUUUAUUGAAGAAUCAUUUGUGUUAUUGUAUUUUUUUGAUUUAAUUUUUUGUACUAUAGUUUAUUUGUACCGUAGGGGAUUGAAUGGAAUGAAUUUUUAGAAGUUUAUUUUAUUUGUUGUACCUUGUGUAUCAGGGUUCAUUGAAUUUUAUUAUUUAUUUUUAUUUCCCGAUUUUAAAGGAGUUAAUUCCUUAUGUUAGUUACUGUUUUAUUAGUAUUAAUAAUGGGGUAUUGGUAGUGAAAUGUUAAUCGUCUUUAGUGGUCUCUGGUUUUUCAAGAAAUGAAUUUAAUUCAUGCUCCUUAUUUAAUUUUUACUUUUGUGUAUAUUUUUUUAUUUGGUGUUAAGAUUAAGGGGGAUUAGCUCCUUAUUUGAUGUUUAUAAUUUUGUUUUUAAUUUAUUUUGGUGGAUUUUAUAGUGAUUUUCGAUUUGAUUAUGUUAAAAUUUUAUUUGUUUAUUUUUUUAUUUAUUUUUAUUUAAUUUGUUUAUUGAGAUGUUUUCUUUAUUUUGUGUUUGAAUAGUAAUUAUUGUGUAAUUAGUAAAUUUUUCUUUUAUGUUGUUUAUUUUCAUGUUAGAUUCUUUUGAGGAAUUCGGCAAAUUUCAUGUCCGCCUGUUUAACAAAAACAUCUUUUCUUGUUAGUUUUUGAAGUAUGGCCUGCCCACUGACUUAUUUGUGUUGAAGGGCCGCGGUAUUUUGACCGUGCAAAGGUAGCAUAAUCAUUAGUUCUUUAAUUGUGAUCUGGUAUGAAUGGUUUGACGAGACGUGUACUGUCUUAAUUUAUUUGAAUAACUUGGUUGAACUUGGUUUUUGAGUUAAAAUUCUUAGAUGUUUUUAUGGGACGAGAAGACCCUAUAGAGUUUGACAUUUGUGCUUUACUUUCUAUUAUUGUUUGUUUUAAGUUGAUGAGUAGGUUAAGUGUUUUGUUGGGGUGAUGGGAGGAAUUUAUGUAACUCCUCUUUACUUAUUUAUAUUUAUGUAUAUUAUUUUGAUCCAUUUAUUUUGAUUAUAAGAUUAAAUUACCUUAGGGAUAACAGCGUUAUCUUCCUUGAGAGUUCUUAUUGGCGGGAAGGGUUGCGACCUCGAUGUUGGAUUAAGGUUAAUUUUCGGUGCAGGAGCUGGGAAUGAUUAGGUCUGUUCGACCUUUAAAAUCUUACAUGAUCUGAGUUCAGACCGGCGUGAGCCAGGUUGGUUUCUAUCUAUAAUAAUGUUUUAUAUCUUAGUACGAGAGGACCGGAUAUUUGGAAUAAUUUUAUUAUUUAUGAUUAUUAAUAAUUUGUUUACUAUUUUGGCAGACAAGUGCACUAGAUUUAGAAUCUAUAAAUG
rnacentral:rRNA from 1 species